GGUUCUAUAGUGUAGCGGUCAUCACAUCGGAUUCUGAUUUCCUUCAGGAUCUUCCGGGAACCCCGGUUCGAUUCCGGGUAGGACCU